CAGCAGCCGCGGUAAUACGAAGGGGGCUAGCGUUGUUCGGAUUUACUGGGCGUAAAGGGCGCGUAGGCGGACUGAUAAGUCAGGGGUGAAAUCCCAAGGCUCAACCUUGGAACUGCCUUUGAUACUGUUUGUCUUGAGUUCGAGAGAGGUAAGUGGAACUGCGAGUGUAGAGGUGAAAUUCGUAGAUAUUCGCAAGAACACCAGUGGCGAAGGCGGCUUACUGGCUCGAUACUGACGCUGAGGCGCGAAAGCGUGGGGAGCAAACAGGAUUAGAUACCCGGUAGUCCCUGUCUCUUAUACA
rnacentral:rRNA from 1 species